rnacentral:rRNA from 1 species
AUGGUGAGUGUGGGCAUUAAGGAGGAAUUUGAGCAAUAUGUUCACAAUGCCGAUCUCGUUCCCUACAUUUUAGAUAAGUGCAGCCAACACCUCACUCUCAUUGAAUCAUUUUUCAAAGGAUUUAAGUUCCAUCCCCGUGAGUCUAGGGUGUCAUUUAAAUUAUAUGAAAAUCCAUUUACUAUAUCUUUAGAGAGAUUCGCUCACCACUGCAAAAUCCCAUUCUGGGGUUUGCUUGAUGAACCACCAAGGUCUGAGUUUGAGAUAUCCUUGACUAGUCUUUUCUAUGGUGAGACUAGGGGAGUGACGCAAGGUAGAAUAAAGAGCAUUCAUUUUCCUGCAAUCCAGUACUUCGCAUUAUUUAAUGGAAAAUGUAUUGUAGGAAAACAAGAUUGUAGUACACUUUGUGCUCCAGACUUGAGCCUCAUAUGCACCGCCCUCACCGGUGACGAAAGUUAUAAUCUUAGAGCUAUUGUUGCACAUAGGUUGCAACACAACGCUGGUAGUGGAUAUUUUUAUGGUGGAAUUUAUGCCACAUGCUUAGCAAGAGAGCUGGGUGUUUCACCUUUGCCCUGUGAUCCUAUUUUACCCACGCAGUACCUAGACUUUGAUGCUAUGAAACAUCAUAAGAUCCUUAGAGGUGAAUCCCAUAAUUUCACUUAUAAAUUUUUGUUUAAUAAGGACUCCGUGGUGGACACAUAUUUGCCUGCACCUGCUCUCUUUAAUGUUCACAACAUGGGAAGAUAUUUUGUUAUUGAGAGCGAGGCCCGAGCCCAUAACGCCGUGAUUGUGGCUGCACGGCGGGCUGAGCUAUCCACACCGAGAGCCUCCGUGCGCUACCACUCGAACCAUUACACAGGCUACUGA